GGUUUGGCACCUCGAUGUCGGCUCAUCGCAUCCUGGGGCUGUAGUCGGUCCCAAGGGUUGGGCUGUUCGCCCAUUAAAGCGGUACGCGAGCUGGGUUCAGAACGUCGUGAGACAGUUCGGUCCCUAUCCGUCGCGGGCGCAGGAAAUUUGAGAGGAGCUGUCCUUAGUACGAGAGGACCGGGAUGGACGCACCGCUGGUGUACCAGUUGUUCUGCCAAGGGCAUCGCUGGGUAGCUAUGUGCGGACGGGAUAAGUGCUGAAAGCAUCUAAGCAUGAAGCCCCCCUCAAGAUGAGAUUUCCCAUUCCGCAAGGAAGUAAGAUCCCUGAAAGAUGAUCAGGUUGAUAGGUCUGAGGUGGAAGUGUGGCGACACAUGGAGCUGACAGAUACUAAUCGAUCGAGGACUUAACCAUAUUU
rnacentral:rRNA from 1 species